UACGAACUGUGCGAACGUUAUUCGGAAUCACUGGGCUUACAGGGUGCGUAGGCGGCUUGCUAAGUAGGGUGUGAAAGCCCCCGGCUUAACCGGGGAAUUGCGCCCUAAACUGGCGAGCUGGAGUGAGAUAGGGGUGUGCGGAACUUCCGGUGGAGCGGUGAAAUGUGUUGAUAUCGGAAGGAACGCCGGUGGCGCAAGCGGCACACUGGAUCUCAACUGACUCUGAGGCACGAAAUCCAGGGGAGCGAACGGG
rnacentral:rRNA from 1 species